UUCAAGAUGUAGAGUAUUAAUUACUAAUCAACUACAAGCCUGGUAAACAGACAGGCCAGGUAAAUAUGAAUGAAGAACUGAAACUAGAGGUAAACAUCAUGGGAAGUCUAAUUGUAGGGCAAGUAUUUUUCAUUCAUAUCUUAUUUAACAUAGUCGAACCAUGCAAUACUUAUAGGCUUAACUAUUGUUUUCAUAGAAACAAUGUUAUUUUAAAUAUCAUGAGAUUGUGUAUUUAAGAGAUAUUCCUAUUCAAGUUUCCAUGUUGCACCAGCUUAACAAGUGCACAUUCUCUGCUGCCAACAGUACCAAUUUGUCAUCCAAGCAACAAAUAUUCUUUGGUAAUCUUCUAUCAGAUGACGACAGUUUUCUCUUUGGCAUUUUUAUGAGUUUAAGCUUUCAAGGCCAAAGGCAUCAGCUAUCAGCAGUGAUAUACAAGUCUUCAUUGCCAAACAGUGACCCGCUUUACUGUUCUUCAAUGUCAAGAGUCUGGAAAUGUCAGCCCAAGGAGAUCAAGUUUAUGUGUCCAAGGUUAAUUUGGUAAUUCUCUAAGAACAAUAGACAGACUCUAUGUGUUGUUGAUCUGCGGGUUAGCGGCUCAAUCAUUGAGCACUGAUUUUCCACUGUUGCCUUGAUACUCCACUGAUGGCUUGAUACUCCACUGAUGGCUUGGUUCUCCACUGACGACUUGGUUCUCCACUGACGACUUGGUUCUCCACUGACGACUUGGUUCUCCACUGACGACUUGGUUCUCCACUGAUGACUUGGUUCUCCACUGAUGCCUUGAUACUCCACUGAUGGCUUGAUACUCCACUGACGACUUGGUUCUCCACUGAUGGCUUGAUACUCCACUGAUGCCUUGAUUGUCAUAAGUUUAUCUAAUGACCUACAGAUCAAGGAUAGCAAGUUGGAGCUGUUGGGUUGAAAACAAAUAAAUGAACUCACAUUAGGCUGCAUUACUUCCUAGAAAAUUAAAACUAAAUGGUCAAUUAAACAUUGAGGUCAAGGAAAAGGGAUGAACAUUUCAAGGCUACAGGAGGAACAUUAAGUGUCUCUCUCACUGUGAAAAGAUUCUAUCGAUCUACAACUGGUCAACAUGUUUUAUCUAAAGUUCAUCUGCCGUUUCUUCAAAUGGAGCCAUAGUCAGAAUAAGAUUCUUUUUGUUCUUCCUGAGGUUCGAAUGUAUCAGUUGUUUUUGUUGACAGAUAUCAAGUUUGUCUACCAGCAGUUUGGUGCUACAAGUCAACGACAGUCAACAACAACAUGACUAAAUUAAAUAAAGCCAUGUCUAUUUCUACAUCAUUUUGUUCCUAUUAACCUGUUGUUACUAACAACUAACUUGAAAUGGGAGAGAUUUUCAUCAUUUUUUUUCCUGAAGUCAUUUCAGUUCUCAAUUAUUUUGUGCAACAAGUUACAAGAACAAAUUCAAGCGAGAGAGGUCACUACACUAAGACUUUGUCUUCUCAUAAGAAUGGAUGGCUGCCUGGUCAUGUGGUAUGUGUGCUGGACUAACGAGAGAGGUCACUACGCUAAGACUUUGUCUUCUCAUAAGAAUGGAUAGCUGCCUGGUCAUGUGGUAUGUGCGCUGGACUGUGUGUGGUAAUCUUGAUGCUCAUAUCUUGCCUGAUGCCAUUUAUUCUGCUGGACGUUUGGUCAAGGAAGUAGAUUCUCUUCAACUCUCAAGGAACAAUCAAAACAGGUCAAACAUUUGACAAGAAUAUCAAGUGCAGU